rnacentral:lncRNA from 1 species
AUGAACCAUGCUCGGAGCCCGGGUCUUCCCGAGUUUCUCAGCGUUAUGUGGAGCAAGACGGUUCCCACGGAGCAGGUUGCAUAUCUGACAGUGAGGAUUUCCUGCGGGAAAGUACACUGCAUAGAAGCUGGCGGGCAGCCCUUGGCACAGUGCAACCACCUUUCGCUCUGGAGCGAACACUUGUUUUCCAAUUGAGCCUAGAUACUGCUUUUAUAGAAGGUAAAAUGAUAAAUGAUUAUGGUUGAGUAAGCACCAAAUUUUGUAAAAAUAUGUCCUCCCACAAGUUGUUUCAAGGACGCUUGUGACACAGAAAAUAUUCAGAGAUUACAUCACCCAUGAAUCGAGUGCUUGGAGAAAAAUAAUUGGACAAAUUGGAUCACUGAAGUUCAAACUGGAUCCCACAAAUUACAAAUUUUUUUUUACCAAGGAUGACCUUUCACAGUCUGGCUCCAGGGCUCUGGAUUCCCAGAGAAAGUGAAACAGCUUCUCUGUGGCUGCAGAGGUCUGAUUUUUAGUGUGUCACCCUUGACAUUGUUUUGCUUUCAACUCCUUCCUUUUCCUGCAGAUUUAUAUCAUUUUAUUAAUAUUAAAGGAAGGCUAUACUUUUAGAAAUUGAGAUUGAAGAAUUGGGAACUAUGUAGAAUUAUGUCUUCUGGGCUUGAGAUUAUCAUUUUAAGAAUAUUUUUGUCUUCUUUCCUUUCUUUCUUCUUUCCUUUCUCUCCUUUUUCUCCCCCCUUCCACCCUUUCUCUUUUCCUUCCUCCUCCCUCCCUCCCUCCCUCCCUUCCUUCUCUUUCUCUUAUCAUUGACAUCUAAUCUGUCUCAAUAGUGCACUGAAGCCAGCUCAUACUGGUUCAUGAGAGCUAACAAAUACAUUUUCAGGAAUUUUGCAAUGGUUAGGGCUAUUGUUGGUAGCUUGAAAAUGGCCACGGCAAACUAUUCAGAUCAUGGAAAUUGGCAAAUGACACAACUCAGGGAUUUAUUUCCUCCUGGAGAGCCAGUUGUUAAAUAAUUUACCAAUAAUAUACCAUUGUAGGUUUGGUCUGAGAAGGAGAUGCAUACAUAGUUCAGUUCACAGUGGAAGCAAUGAUUAAUUUAAAAGACAUCAAAGUUUCAAAAAGAAAGUGUUUUGCAAUUUGAUUUAACCAGUAAGCUCAUAAAUGUCUUACGUAUCAUUUUUCUGAUUAAGUGUUUUAA